ACAGUACGAUAUUAAGACAAUGUUAUAUUGCUUAUUCGUAGUCACCGCCAUGCUAUUAAUAUGUAUUUGCAAUUAGUGGCGGACACAUUGCCUUUGUGGUAAUACGAUUAAUUCUGCAACCCAAGCACUAGAGUCAGAGUGUCGUGAUAAUUGUCCGGGCGACAUAAGCAAAAAAUGUGGCUUUCAUUGGAGGAUUAACAUCUACAGACAUUGGGGCUGCCCACUCGGAAGUUACAGUGUAAACUGUUCCAAGCAAUGCAAUUGCCGUGCGAGUUCAUGCGACGAUGUGACGGGUGCAUGUGGAAAUGGUGGCUGUAAAGGCGGAUGGAAAGGAAUAGUGUGUAAUGAAAGCUGCCCAACCGGAAGUUACAGCGUUAACUGUUCCAUGGAAUGCCAUUGUCGUGAGGGUCCAUGCGACGGUGUGACGGGUACAUGUGUAAAUGGUAG